UUUUCUGGACUUUUGAUGAUUGUCAAUGUAUUUUAACUCAAAAUAAUUAAUGCACACUGGAGCUUAGUAAGGAAAUAAUUUUUUUGCUUUAAAUUGAUGAAUUUGGUUUUACCUCAUAAUCUACUUUAUUUGCCACAAUAAAGCAGGUCUUUUAUUGGUUAGAUCUAAAUAUAAAGGAUUGGACAGCAUAACAAAGAAUGAAGCCAGA
rnacentral:lncRNA from 1 species